rnacentral:ncRNA from 1 species
AAAAGUUUGAUUCUUGCUUGAACUUUUAUUUUAUAGUUAAUGUACAUGCAUAUUUUGGUGGGUAGAGGACAAAAAAUUAAAGAUAAUUUAUGAAGUAAGAAAAUGUUUGGGUUAUUCGCAGUACGGAGGAUUAAAUAUUAAAUUAAGAUUUGAUUUAGUAAACUAUAAAAAGUUUGAUUAAAUUUUGUGCCAGCAAUCGCGGUUAGACUUUAAAGCUUAGUAAAAGUAUUUUAGUUAAGGUUACUCUUGUAUUUAGGAUUAAAUUGAAAUUUAUAAUAAUAAAAGGUGAAAUUGGCUUAUUGGAAAUAAAUGGAAAUUGAGUAAUAAAAAGAGAAGGCUUGGAAAUUAAGGUAUAGACCAGGAUUAGAUACCCUGUUAUACUUAAAGGGGAAAAAUAUGACUUGAAUAUUAGUAGUUAUGGUCUUUAAAUUCAAAGAAUUUGGCGGUAUUUUAGUCUUGUUAGAGGAACCUGUUCUGUAAAUGAUACAACACGAAAAAUCUUACUUACUCUUGUUUAACAAUUUGUAUACCGUCAUUAUUAGAUAACCUUUGUUGAGAAAGUUAUUGAAAUUUAGGAAGUUAGAGUAUAUUAGAUCAAGGUGCAGUUUAUGAGUAAGGAGAAAUGGGUUACAAUAAAAUUUAUUUACACGUAUUAGGAAUUGAAUAAUUUCUAUGAAGGAGAAUUUAAUUGUAACAUACAAUUCAAUAAGUUAAUGUGAUAUGAGAACUAAAAUAUGUACAUAUCGCCCGUCGCUUCCAUUUAAGAUGGAACAAGUCGUAACAUAGUAGGUGUACUGGAAAGUGUACCUAGAAUUAAA